GGCGUCGAUGCAGGCGUACUUGAUCUGCUCGUAGCUGAGGCAGGACGCGUCCCAGCGGCUCAUGGUGACCCUCUGCGGCUUCACGAGGUUGACGCCCAUGACGACUUGCACGAGCGCACGCAGCCCCGCCUGGCGGAGGUCCGGGCGGUUCAUCCGCUCCGCGGCGCGGCCCCGCAGGUCCUCCGCGUUGGCCACCACCAGACCGUGGUCGUCGCUGAGCCGCUCCGCGUCCGCCUCCACGCCGACGCCGACGAAGCGGAUCCCGCGGUCGCCGAGGAACUCCGCCAGCGCGCCGGGGACGUAGUCGGCGUAGAGGAGCUGGAAGAUGAGGCAGCUGUGUCCGACGCAGAGCUGCAGUGUGGCCACCGGGUUCUGGUGCGGGCCGAAGCUUGGGCGCCACUCAACGUCAAGCCCGACGAUGAUGCUGUAGCCGUUGCUGCCGGGGCGGUGCAACGCGAGGAUCUCCGCGAUCCAGCGCUCCACAGCCUGGCCGGAGGAUGUGACGGUGGUGUUAAUCACGUCGUUGCCGAAGGUCACUUCGAUCACGUCAGGGUCGGCCAUUGGAUACCUCGUCGCCGUCCCUCGGUCUGCGGCGCUCCUUUUCCCCUGCGCAAAGGACAAGGGGAACUGGGGAAGAGGGGAGUGGUU
rnacentral:misc_RNA from 1 species